CAGUAUGUAUGUCUGUGUGUGUGUCAGUAUGUCUGUCUGUGUGUGUGUCAGACAUACUGACACACACACACACACACACACAUACUGACACACACAGACAGACAUACCGACACACACACAGACA
rnacentral:miRNA from 1 species